CGCGCAGGCGGCCUUUUAAGUUGGAUGUGAAAGCCUAUGGCUCAACCAUAGAACUGCAUCCAAAACUAUUAGGCUAGAGUGUGGGAGAGGAAGAUGGAAUUAGUUGUGUAGGGGUAAAAUCCGUAGAGAUAACUAGGAAUACCAAAAGCGAAGGCAAUCUUCUGGAACAUUACUGACGCUGAGGCGCGAAAGCGUGGGGAGCAAACAGGAUUAGAUACCCUGGUAGUCC
rnacentral:rRNA from 1 species